rnacentral:tRNA from 3 species
UGCCUUGUAGUCUAAUGGUAGGACGCCCCGCUCUGGACGGGGUAGUCUUGGUUCGAGUCCAGGCGAGGCAGC